GAUAAAAUCUGAAGGAGGAGUCAAAAGCUUUUUUCAGACUGUGAAAGAUGAUUGUGUUUUCCUACAGACUGCUAGGAGAAGAAUGUGGUCUUUGGACAAGGUCUGGUUAAAACUCUUCAGGUUACUUGACAACAACGAAGAGAAGCGUUUUACUGGGGCCAUGAUGAUGUGAGGCCACAGUGACAGCCACUUCAUGAGCUUCUUGUGACUGGUCCUGUAUUGAGGAUGUGUACCCUUACAGCUGGAGACCUUGGAGUGACUUGUGAGAGUAUUCUCUUGCCUUCUGAUGCGCUGUGAAACUUGGGGUGAAGAAUGGUGAGAAUAAGCUGUAGAAAAGUUUAAUGUGUUUCAUUAGAUUUUUCAUCUUUAAAUUGCUUACAACUAUUAUGCCUUUAUCCAAUGACUUGGGGUUCUCCAAGCUAUC
rnacentral:lncRNA from 1 species